rnacentral:lncRNA from 1 species
ACACACACACGCACGCAGAGCCUGCCGUUCCCCUUCCCGCCUUCUCUCCGCUCGCUAUCCAGCCGGACCAUUGGACCGACUAGCCCGCCUGCCUGCCGCCGCUCUGCAGCCCCUUCGCUCCCGCCUCAGCCGAGGAAUCCUGCCGCCGCUCUCGCCGCUCGCUUCUGCCUGCCUGCCGCCGCCGCGUCUAACCCCGGCCGUCGGCUAGGCUAGGCUGGGCUGGGCGGUUCUCCUAGAGCCGAGGCGCGAGGCGCGCAGCCCCGGGACUCGGCUCGCCGCCGCCGCCGCCGCGCGCGAGUCACCCCGGCUGAUGACGGAUCAUUAAGAAGAAGUGGCCUUAGCGUCCCCGUCCUCCCGCCCCCCGCUCCCCGCCACCUGGCGCCUCUCUUUUAGAGCAGAGGAUGCGCGCGGAUAAGUGGCGGAAGAGGGGCGUGUGUGUGCGCGCGCGCGUGUGAAGAUGGUGAUGGAGAUGGACCGGGAGAGGUAGGCGAGUGGGAAGCGCUCCUCUGAUCCCGACGAUUCCCCUCUCCAUCUCCUCCCACUCCCCUCCCCGCAUCAUUAAAAAAAGCAGCCCUUCCCUAAAAUUUGGUACCCAAGUUUGACUGCACUCUCCCCCCCCCCCCGCCUCCCAGCCAUCCUCCUCCUCUCCCGAUCCCCAACUGCAGGCGUCUAUUUCUCUCUCUCUCUCUCUCUCUCUCUCUAAAUAUAUAUCAAAGGAGACUUCACUAGUUUCUCCUUGACAGGGGCUGAUCUGUUAACCCAGGAACUACCUAGAAGGUUGGUAUCAUUGUGGAAGAAAAUCCUUCAUUUCCUGUGUGCUCAGUAAGUUUUUUUUUUUAACCAACAACCCCCCUUUUCCCCAAUUUAUUCUGUCUUGUUGUACAUUUGCUUUGCUUGUGAGGUUUUAAUGACAUAAAAACACUAAAUGGAAAAGGAGACAUUUGAUUUUUGUGUUGGUAUGCUAGAGUUUUUUUUAAUAUAUCUAUAUCUGCAUUUUAAAGUUGUGGCAUUUGAAGACUUGGUAGAAAUGUGGAGAACAUUUUAUAGCUCAUAUAUGGAAAUAUUGCAUUUACUGUCACCUACCAAUAAAUCUAUGAUUUAUUUCAAUCAUGAAAAUAAUUUGUGAGUUGCUUCCAGAUAAGUAUAUAUAAUGUGUAUUAUUUUGUUUUAAAAUCCAAAAUACAGGGAAGAAUAGACAAAGACUUACCUGUUACACAUUAAAUAUAGUUCUGCAUUGAAACAGAUCACAGCUUUGUAAUUCUAUUUGCAUGCCACCUUUGAGGGAAAAUACUUUUAAAAAUGCAUUUGUGAUUUUCCCAUUGUCUAAUUUUAAAUUUAUUCAGUGCUUAGAUAUGUAUUUUUUUCUAGUAUAUAUUAGCAAAUAAUUUGGCAGGUAGUCAUUAUCAUAAAGUUGCUGGCACUUGUUCACUGGUUAACAUAACUUUCCAACCUUUUUAGACACAUUUUCCACUUAAGGCUAGCCAUAUUUGCAUUAUGUUUGGCUGUAUAUAUAUAUAUAUAUAUAUAUAUAUAUAUAUAUCCUAGCAGGGUCUGAUCUUAGAGUUAGUCCUUACUCAUUUAUUUAGAAAUUAUAUUGAAGUAAUUUACCUUCAGGCAUCAAGAAAAAAAUGAUCUAAUCUCGGUAACCAAGGAAAAAUGAAAUAUCUCACUGAGUUUUUUCAGCUAUAUUUUUGAGGCAAUCACACAGUCACUAAGGAGUAGUAGUAGAAAUUUAAUAAUGAAUUCAACAAGGUGCUUAUUUAGUAAGAUAAGUGCGAAUGAGGCUAGCAUUCUCAUAUUUAUGACUAAUUUAAAUAGAGCUGUUAACUUACAGAAGGCUUAAAAAAGUAUACCCAACUUCAUUCUACACACAAACACAUGUAAAAUAAAUAAAUAAGCAGAUCCCCCAAUUAGGCUAGAUAACAUAGGUGGGAAGAAAAAAAAAAUGCAUGAGAAAAUAAUGUAAACUUGCAUAUCCUGAUACAUUCAGCAUGGUUCUGGCAUAAGUAAUUUAGUUCAGAUCCAUUUGCUUUAACCACACAGAUAUUACAAAAGGAAUUAACAGAACAGUUGUACUGAGGGGGGGGGCACCCCAUAUUUUCCCUUUGAAAUAUGAUGUGCAACUAACUUGAAAUGACACAUGGAAGCCAGUGAAUAAAUCAUGGGAAAUAUUAAUAUUUGAAAUGUAUUGUAUUUAAAAUUAAUCAGAACUUCACCCCACUCCACUUUAGCUACCUUUUUCUUAUCUGUAAAUACCUCACUUUGGAUUCCAUCAGUUUGAUUCAACAUUUUGCCAUAUUUUUAAAAGAUAUAUGGAACCACAUCUUGACACCUUGAUCUUAACACUUUGACUGGGGAGUAGUUCCUAUUGAUUUAAAUGAAAUUUAUUUCCAAGUUGAGUGGCUUAUUAUCACAGUCUUGAUUUUUUUUUAUUUAAAUAAAACCCCGCAAACCUUUGAAAGUCAAAUAUAGUAAGAAUGACAUAUUAGAAGCAGUAAAAACUGGCAACAAUCCAGCACAGAAUUUGGGGUGCUUAAGCCAAAAGCAUGUCCAAAUCUGUUUUGGAUCGUGAUGCUUAAUUUUAUUUUACACUUCACUAGAAGGAAAAGAAUUUGGAGGAGUCAAUGAACACAAACACAACACUCCAAUCCAUUCUUAUACUAUCCAUAAUGUAACAAAUAUUAUAUAAUGUAUUUUAUAAUUAGACUUAUGUAGAAACGGAUGGCAUGUUAUCUUACCUAUAUAAAUACACCUUAUUAUGUGUAAUAUCCAAUAUUCCCCCUCUCCCUAUAUGUAAUAUAUUUAUAGUGCAGCACAUUAUUUUUGUACAUUACGGCUAUAAACCAAUUAACUGAAAUUCCUCAGUAAGUGGUGGCCUCAAUACAAUACAUUGCUUAAAAUGCUGUCAUAUGUUGCAACCACCACAAAGGAAGAGAACACUUUUUUGUUAAUGUAUUUCACAGCAAAAUGUGGAUCUGGGUUAUGAGGUUUAAAAAAGUGCAUUUGCAAUUAUUAUUUUUAAGUUUAAUGCUCCUUAUAGUAGCAAAGUGAUCGCUGCAAGAGCUUCUAGCAAAAUGGCACAAAGGUUAAAUCCAGAACGUUGACAACCAUAAGGCAAUCAGAAUUUUGCCAUUGAUUCCAGUGGGAUGGCCUUGUGUUCUUAUUAGGUGUACUCAUGAUAUCACUGCUCAUUUGCAUCACUUUCUGGCCUUUAUUGGUCUUGUAGAUUUAAGCCUAGCUCCUUUAUGUAUGUAUUCAUUAGGUAGGACUAGUUUCCUCUGGACUUAACUGUUAAAAGCAACAUGAUACUUCUUUGAGCUGGAAGAGAAACUUUUGGUUCCACUCAGCACUCCAGCCACAGUGUUUCAAUAGGGUCACAGUUGGGGCCUUAUCUUUAUCCUGCUGAAGUCUAAGAGAAUCAUGCCUUGAUGAUCUGGCUUCUCAGACCUAAACAUAUUUUCUGGAAAAUAAACACUGCAGAUUUUUUUUAUUCCACGUAUGUGUGCAUAGAAUUUCACUUGAGGUUUGUCUUCCUUGUCAGUGAGUGUGUUUAGUCAAAGCAUUAGGAACUCAAUGUCAUGGUGUUAAGCUCACAGAAAGUAUUUACAAGAGUGGUCCUGGGCACUCGUCUCCUUUACGUAAAGGUUUUAUUUAGGAAGCAAGCAGAAACGACAAUAGAAAAGGGAACAUGUGCAAAGACCUGCUGCAAGGAAGCAGAGGACUCAAAUCUAACAAGAUAGUAUCACAUGAUGUGGCACACUGUAAGAAAUAUUUGCUUCUGCAAAAACAUGAUCAAAUUCAGAU